rnacentral:lncRNA from 1 species
UCUCUCUCUCUCCCUCUUUCUCUCUCUCUCCCCCCACUUCCCUCUUCCUCUCCCCUCUUCAAAGAAAUUAGCUUAAGAAGUGCCUGAUUCAGUUUUCAUUCUAUGGAAGAUCCAUCUUUGUAAAUGUAUGUUCUUAAAGUGCUCAUUUUAAAAGAUUGGUCUUAAAAAAGAAAAGGCCCUCCUUCCCCGCCAUGGUCUCUUUUUCUCCCUUCUUAGUUAAGAAACAUUCCUGCAGUGAUCACUCAGAAGGAACAAUAUAGGAACACACUCUGAUACCUUAUUUUGCAUGACAGCUAGUUUUACUUUGAACUUCUCUACACCUAAUGUGUUAUACUCUGACUUAAUUAAUGAUCAGCUAUAGAGUGUAGUAUUUAUAUAUAAAUAUAAGUGAUAAUAAACAUGGGUUGUAACGUUAGUUUAAAAAAGGGAAAAGUUUUGUUCUGUAUAUUUUGUUACCUUUUACAGAAUAAUAAAGGAAUUAAUAUGAAAAAAACAUUUAGACAAGGUACUUAAAUCGAAUGUACUGUGAUGGCAGUCACGAGACUGAUUACUCGAUGUGAUCACAUUUGUAAAAUGAUUUUUUUAUUGUGCUUUUCUUGCAUGUGAUUCAGUAUAUAUACAUGCAUAUAUAUAUAUAAACACUUCACUUUUUUUCUAACAGAGCUUUUAAUUUUUUUAAAAGACGAUGUUGAUGAAUAACAAUUCAGACUCCAACCAUGAAGGGACUGUUGAAUCCUGCUUUAUCAUCUUUGUAUUGUCACAAGGAAAACAUCACUAUGUCCUCUUUUCCAAUCCAUCAGCGUGUCUGGGGGUACACUGUCCACCCUGCUUCCUCACCAACUUCCUCCUUAAGCUUUUGUCUUUUUUCCCAAGUGAAAACAUCAUGCAGACAUCUUCUGCACCGCGUACACGAAAAUAAAAGAUCUGCAAGUUUGCAAAGCACUCUUCUCAUGAAUCACUACCUUCAUUGUGUAGACGAGAAAACAGACUCGGAAAGGUUAAAAGACUUCAAAAUGUAGAUCAUUGAAGUCAAAAGAGGCUUCAGCUAAGAAGUGGGUCACCCCACUGAGGACAAAGGAGCACUUCUGCCCCGGGGAGGCAGCUGGAGAUUGCCAUUUUUGCUUUUGGGGGUAUUGGAGGAUGAGACAACCACCUUUCCCCCCCGGGCAAGGAAACUCCGAGGGUGUCGGUGUCCGGAAACAGUCCAACCCUAAGG